rnacentral:tRNA from 10 species
CAGAUAUUGACUGCAAUUGUAGAGAGAAGAAUGCUAUUUUCUUGAACUAGAGAAGGUGUCAAUAAUGAUAAAGAAAGUGAAUAUAUUUCUAGAAGGUUCUGGAGAUAUGUCAUAAGACAGCAUGUGAAUUGACCAUGUUUUCCACAUCUUUGACCAAGUAUAAUAUUAAAUAAUAUUUAGUAUCUUGACAUUUAAUUUUACUAAAGAUAAUUCAUGUGUUUGUGUUACAAGGAUAUUACAAAGGUGGGAAGGAGAGACUACGUUAAAAGAAAAGGUAAAGUGAAGGAUAUUGAAAAGCAAAAGCAAAGGAAGAAACUCAUUCAAAAAUAAGUUACAAAAUAAGGCAAAAUAUUAGGUAAACUUAGACAUAUUUCAUAAAUCUUUUAAAAUGAGAACAAACUUGAGAAUACAGGGAAAGUGCUUUUGAUGCAUCUGUUGCUAUUCACCUUCUCUUUCUCAUUUAAAUAUACAUUUCAAAUAAUGAAAACCUUUUGUGAAUAUACUAUGUAGUAUACUCAUAUUAAUAAGUGAUAUAUUUAAAAAUUAAUCCUUCUAUAUCCAAAUAAAUAUACAACAUCUAAACCUACUACCAAUUUGUCACAUAAUGAUGAGUAGAGAGCAAUAAAAUCAAUGAAAAGAAUUUUGUUGUGAAUGAUUUUUGUUGUGAAUGAUAAGCAAACAUUGCAUUCAAUAAAUCUGUAUUUAUAAUGUGUUAAAAAAUAUCUAUCAAGCUAAACUAAUUCCCUCGUCACCUGAAAAGAGAGAAGACCAAGAAAUGACUGAUAGGCAACCAACAAGAAUACCUGUGAAAUGGAGACAAGAAUGUUUGAGAACUGACUGACCAUCCAGUGGCACCUGAGAAAAGGAUAUGUCAAUGUUAUCUAAUCCUGGAUCAUGUUAUGCAAAAUUCUAAGAUGAAUCUGAAGACACCUGCUUUAUGGUUUGCAAACAUUGUACAAAUUCCUCCUCUUGUAUGUGUUGUGGUCUGUGCAUAAGAUGGAUUUUAUAACUAUAAUUAGGCUGCAUUAUAUGACAAAGGUAAAAUGAUCUUGCAGAUGCAAUUGAGGUUCCAAAUCAUUUGGUUUUCAGUUAAUAAAAAAAGGAAUUAUUUCAGUGGGCUUGAAUUAGUCAUGUGUAGACUCUAAAAAGAAAGAGACAUGGAAUGUGAGAAAAAUUCAAUUCCGUUGCUGGUUAAGACAGCAGGUGGCCUCUAGGAUUGAAGAGUGGACCCUGGCCAAUAGCUGGAAACAAAACAGGGGCCUGACUUGUAAAAACAGAGGAUUGAAUUCUGUCAAAAACCACAUAAGCCUUAAAACACUAUCCCAAGCUCCACAAAGGAAGGCAGCACAACCAACAAUUUUUUGAGGCCGAAUCUCUCUACCUUGCCCAGAUUGGUCUUGAACCCCUGGGUGCAAGUGAUCUUCUAAGCACAAGUGAUUUCCUCUUCCCCCACUUCAGCCUCCUGAGUAGCUGUAAUUACAGACACAUCACCAAACCUAGCUAAAGCCAUCAUCUUGAUUUCAGCUUUGAUGUGCUCUUGAGCACAGGGUCAAGCUAAUCUAUGCUCAGACACUUGACUAGUGGAAAUUAUUAGAUAGAAAAUGGGUGUUAUGCCAAUUAGUUUGCGACAAUUUAUUACACAGCAAAAGAAAACUAAUACAAUGUCAAAAGUUAUUUCUAUCUGAAUUCCAAAUGUUAGAACUAGACUAGAAACCAAAAUCAUUUAAAAUCCAAAUUUGUCACAUGUGAUUAAUAGUCCCAUUUUACUGUCUGAUAUAAAUGAUGAUGUAUUUGUUUGUUAAAUAAAAGAUAUGGACAUCAGAAAGAAUAAUAUUAACAAAGUUUGGGGGGCAAUGAAUUCAAUUUUAUAUCAAGCAAGUUGAAGUAAAUCUACUGUUGGGACCUAGAUCUUGUGCACUCCUACUCAUGCUGGUGACUGCAACAUUCUACGACUUCACAACCUCUAGAGUUACUUCAUUUUUUUUUUCUUUUAAGAAGCAACCAUAUUAAGUGACAGGAUUACUUCUUAAAAUACUUUAUACUUCUAGACUUAUAUAAUUUUAGAUGGUGCACUGGCUGUUCAUGUAAGUAAAAAUAAUUAACAAAUUUUGCAAACUUCUAAUUUUCUCAAAUACAAUUAAUCCCUUUAGAAAAACUAUUGCUUUGUUUUAUCAAGAAAGCAUGAGAGUACUAACAAAACAUUUAUAAUAAUGCUGAGUCUAAUUCUUAUAAUCAUGAUUAUGAUCAUUUAUUGGACUGUUAUCACUAGCCAGAUACUACGUAGAGUGUUAUAUGCAUAUUACUUUCUAAAAUUUUCCCCAUACAACAAAUAAUUGAGAUUGCAUCUAUUCAUACUCAUUCCAUUUUAUAUGGAAGGAACUGAGACCAGAAGCAGGGGAGAUUGAGAGUUAUUGUUCACUGGGUAUAGAGAUUUGGUUAUGCAAGACAAAAAUAACAACAUAACCAGUAAGCAAUAAAUUGAAGAAAUAAAAUUAACCUUUAUCCAUAGAGCUAAAACUUUUAACUACUGCACUAUUUCAAUUUAUUAGUACAGAAUCAUAGUGCUUACUUUUCAACCUACUCCAAACCCAAAACUCCUUCAUAUAGUCAAUAUUGUAAUUGAGUGGAACUGCAUUUAAUGAUGAAAUGUAAGUUUCUAUUUGUUAAAACACAUGCUUUUUCUGAUGUAAUAUAUUGUGAACAUUUUCUCACUAGUCACAUUAUAUUUCUCCACAAUACUAAAGAUGGUAAAGUGUCUUUUCUGGUUUGAGUGCUUUUUUACUUUAAUUUUUUUUUUGUCUAAUUGCUCUAGGUAGGAUUUCCAGUACUUUAUUGAACAUGUGAGUGAGCAUCUUUACCAUGUUUCUGAUCUUAGAGAAAAAACUUUCACGUUUUCAUUGUUGAGUAUAAUGUUAACUGUGGCUUUUUGUAUAUGGCCUUUAUUAUAUUGAGAUAAUUUAUUUCUAUUCCUUGUGUUUUAGUAUUUUUAAUUCAUGAAAAGAUGUUGAAUUUUGUCAGAUGCUUUUUCUGCAUCUAUUGAGUUAAUCCUGUGUUUUAAAAGCUUCCAUUCUGUUAAUAUAAUAUAGUGUAUCCUAUUGAUUCAUUUGUUUAUGUUGGAUCAUCCUUGUCUCACAAAAAUAAAUGCCACUUGGUCAUGCCAUGAGGUAUUUUUACUGUGGUAUUGAAUUUGGUUUGUUAGUAUUUUGUUGAGGAUACAAGAUUUUAUAUUUAUAUCUUGUAAUUAUAUCUUUGUCUGGCUUUGGUGUUGGUAAUUCUGACCUCAUAAAAUGAGUUUGGAAUUGUUUCUUCCCUUUACAUUGUUUAUAAUAGUUUGAGAAGGAAUAGUGUUAAUUCUUAUUUAAAUAUUUGAUGGCAUUCUUCAGGGAGGCUAUCUAGACCAUGACUUUUCUUCACUGGGAAGUUUUGGUGACGAAUUCAAUCUCCUAGCUAGCUAUAGGUCUACUCUAAUUUUCUCUUUUUUCAUCAUUAAUUUUUGAUAGGUUGUAUGUUUUAAAAAAUUUGUUCAUUUUUUUCUGGGUUAUGCAGUGUAUUGGCAUAUAAUUAUUUAUAAUAAUUCUCAUUUUUAUUCCUGUGGCAUCAGUGUUAAUGUCUCCUCUUUUAUUACUGAUUUUAUUUGCAUAUUCAAUUUGAAAAGAAUGUACAUUCCGUAGUUGUUGGGUAGAAUGUUCUGUAAAGCUCAUCACUUAGGCACAUAUUCAUCAAGUUAUCUCAAGUCAAGACAAAGAAAAGAAUCUUAAGAGCUGUGAGGCAAAAGCAUCAGGUAGCCUAUAAAGGAAAACCUAUCAGAUUAACAGCAGAUUUCUCAGCAGAAACCCUACAAGCUCGAAGGGUUUGGGGUUCUAUCUUUAGCCCCAUUAAACAAAACAAUUAUCAGCCAAGAAUUUUGUAUCCAGCAAAACUAAGCUUCAUAAAUGAAGGAAAAAAUAACAGCCUUUUAUAGACAAACAAAUGCUGAGAGUUCAUCACUACCAAGCCAGCACUACAAGAACUGCUAAAAGAACCUCUAAAAUCUUGAAACAUAUCAUCAAAGUACACCAAAAUAGAAUCUCCUUAAAGCAUAAAUCUCAUAGGACCCAUAAAACAACAAUACAAUGAAACAAACAAACAAACAACAACAAGGUAUUUAGGCAACAAAUAGCAUGAUGAAUAGAAUAGCACCUCAAGUCUCAAUACUGAUAUUGAAUGUAAAUGGCCUAAAUGUUCCACUUAACAGAUACAGAAUGGCACAAUGGAUAAGAAUUCACCAAUCAAAAAAUCUGCUGUCUUCAAGAGGCUCAUCUGGCAUAUAAGGACUCACAUAAACUUAAGGUAAAGAAGUGGAAAAAGACAUUGCAUGCAAAUGGAUCCAAAAGCAAGCAGGAGUAGCUAUUCUUAUAUCAGACCAAACAAACUUUAAAACAACAGUGGUUAGAAAAGACAAAGAGGGAUAUUAUAUAAUGAUAAAAGGACUAGUCCAACAGGAAAAUAUCAUAACCCUAAAUAUAUAUGCACCUAACACCAGAGCUCUCAAAUUUAUAAAAUGAUUACUACUAGACCUAAAAAAUGAGAUAGACAGCAACACAAUAAUAGUGGGGGACUUCAAUACUCCACUGACAGCACUGGAGAGGUCAUAAAGAAAGAAAGACUACAAAGAAACAAUGGACUUAAGCUAUACCCUAGAACAAAUGAACUUAAAAGAUAUUUACAUUUGUUUCUUUUUUAAAUAAAGGUACUUACUGGUAUAAACUUUCAUCUUAGUAGUGUUUUUGCUGCCUCCAUAAUUUUUGGUAUAUUGUAGUCUGUUUGAUUAUUUGUUUGUCACAAGACACUUUUGGUUUUCUUUUUGUUUUUGAACCUCUAUGACAAAAUUAAAAGCGAUUUUUAUAAUGCUGAUAGAGUAUUACAGUAUUCUAGACCUGUUGAUAUAUUUACCUUUACCAGUAAGCUCUAUUUUUCUUUUGCUUUCAUGUUGCUGUCUACAUUCCUUUUGUUUUAAACUGAAGUAUUUCAUUUAGAAUUUUUUCUAAGGUAGAUCUAGUGAUGAUAAAAAUACUUCUGCUGUUUGGAAAAGUCUUUAAUUCUUUCAUUUUUGAAGGAUACUUUUGCUGGAUAAAGUAUUCUUGACUGGCAGUGUUUUUUUUUUUUUUCAUUUGUUUGUUUUCAUCACUUUGAAUAUGUCAUUGUUCUGUUUUCUGGCCUGCAGAGUUUUCGCUGAGAAAACUGCUGAUGGUAUUAUGGGGUAUUUUUGUACAUGAUGAUGUACAUUUUCCUUGUUGCUUUCAACAUUUUCAUUUUCUUUGACUUUUGGCA